GCUUGGGUGGUGGAACUGGUAGACACGCGGGACUUAAAAUCCCGUGAGCCGUAACGCUCGUGUGGGUUCGAUUCCCAUCCCAAGUACAA
rnacentral:tRNA from 2 species